UUGAUGGAAGGCCUGGCCCCAAGGGGGAACCAGGUGAGGAGUGAAAGGAGAUAAGGGAGAUGCAGGCGACAAAGGUCCUCCUGGGUUAAGGGGUACCCAGGGUCUUCCAGGUUCUACAGGGUUGGUUGGUCUCCCUGGCACCAAAGGGGGAAAGGGAGAGCAAGGAUUGCCGGGAUUAGAUGGUUUCCCCGGGCUGAUGGGACAAAAGGGGGAGAGGGGGGGCAGAGGAGACAAGGGUGACAGGGGGAUGCUGGGAAAGAAGGGACUGAAGGGACAGAAGGGCGAGCAAGGCCCUCCUGGACUGGACCAGCCCUGUCCUGUGGGUCGGGAUGGAUUACCCAUACCUGGAUGUUGGCAUAAGGUUUGUACAGCAACACUACUUCUAUGAAGCCCUUUUUGGGUGUUAGGCUGUAUUAAGGUAUCUGCAUACUAGGUUCGGUUCGCUCCUAGCAGAACUCGGCUAAGGGAAGUGAACAUCUGUGCCUGGCUUAGUCCCUUAUAAAAGGCCUUCUCUUAAAAAAAUACAAAAAGCGGGAAUAGUACUGCUUUUCCAUCUUGAGAAGCCGUAGUCAGUAUACACUUCCUCAAAAUAGUCUGAAUUCAUCUAAGAUAACUCAAGAAAUCUGUCAUUAAUUUUGACGUUUUUGCCGAAGAGAUCUUAGUCGCCCAAUUUUACAUCUAACUAAGAUGUUUGGUGCAGUAUUUUUAUAUGAAAAAAUUUGUAUGAAAACGA